CACAAUAUGUAGGAUGAAGGUGCUCAGACGAUAUUUGAGCUUAAAAGGGAAUCUGGUUAAAAGCCAGAACUGUCCUCGCAACUGUAAGUGUGUACGAAAGGGAGUUCCACUGUGCGGCAAGCCGUAUGGGAAGGGCCCGGAGUAGGGUGAUACACAAGUCAGUAGACCUGCCUGAAUCUAGCGUUUCAA
rnacentral:ncRNA from 2 species